UUCGGUCUUUGGAGCGGAUUGGAACCACCUUUUCCUCGCCUCGCUGAGCAAUCGGCGAAGCGGGCCAUUCCGAACAGAGAAGUGAAACGGUCCAGCGCCCACGAUACUUUGCGUAUGCAGGGGAAAAUAGGUCAAGGCCGGGG
rnacentral:rRNA from 2 species